CAGGGAAAGGGUCCUCCCUCAUAGUGACGCAUGUCAUAGACUCAGAUUUAUACAAACAAAUGCUGAGCAAACCAUGAAGAGUCUCUGGUAUUUUCAACAAUAUCAUCACAGAGGAACUGUAUUGAUUUCCUUGAACUUUUCAAAUGUAGAGGAGCCUUUAGAAGGAAGCCUUGAGCAUGAGGGCAGACCCCCCUCAUCCAACCACCACCUGACUCUGUGUGAACCUGGAACUGUUAGAAUGUCUGUGCUGUGAUAAAAGGUCAUCUCCCUACAAUGUUAUGAUACAGACCUCAAACCUACAAACAUGAGGAACUUCUGCCUCUAGGUUAACUGGUUACCCACUGUACAAGACACGUUACACACAGUCCAGGAGGCGGAGCUUCUGAGAUAUCUAGAAACAGCUUAGAGGCAAAAUGACAAAAUAAAGCAGCAACAACAAAUAAAACCAAUCUUCUCGAACUGGC
rnacentral:lncRNA from 1 species